rnacentral:tRNA from 1 species
GGUAGGGUGGCUGAGUUUGGUUUAAAGCGCUGGACUUAAGAUCCAGUUGACGUUCCGCGAUGUCACGCGGGUUCGAAAUUGUCAAUACGGAAAUCCCGUCCCUACCG